rnacentral:rRNA from 1 species
UACGUAGGGUGCGAGCGUUGUCCGGAAUUAUUGGGCGUAAAGGACUCGUAGGCGGUUUGUCGCGUCGGGAGUGAAAACCAGGUGCUUAACACCUGGCUUGCUUUCGAUACGGGCAGACUAGAGGUAUGCAGGGGAGAACGGAAUUCCUGGUGUAGCGGUGAAAUGCGCAGAUAUCAGGAGGAACACCGGUGGCGAAGGCGGUUCUCUGGGCAUGACCUGACGCUGAGGAGCGAAAGUGUGGGGAGCGAACAGG